rnacentral:rRNA from 1 species
UACGUAGGGUGCAAGCGUUGUCCGGAAUUAUUGGGCGUAAAGAGCUCGUAGGCGGCCUGUCGCGUCGGCUGUGAAAACCCGGGGCUCAACCCCGGGCCUGCAGUCGAUACGGGCAGGCUAGAGUCCGGCAGGGGAGACUGGAAUUCCUGGUGUAGCGGUGAAAUGCGCAGAUAUCAGGAGGAACACCGGUGACGAAGGCGGGUCUCUGGGCCGGAACUGACGCUGAGGAGCGAAAGCGUGGGGAGCGAACAGG